UACAGAGGGUGCAAGCGUUAAUCGGAAUUACUGGGCGUAAAGCGUGCGUAGACGGUUAAGUAAGUCGGAUGUGAAAGCCCCGGGCUCAACCCGGGAAUUGCAUUCGAGACUGCGUAGCUAGGGUGCGGAAGAGGGAAGCGGAAUUUCCGGUGUAGCGGUGAAAUGCGUAGAUAUCAGGAGGAACACCGGUGGCGAAGGCGGGUCUCUGGGCCGAUACUGACGCUGAGGAGCGAAAGCGUGGGGGAGCGAACAGG
rnacentral:rRNA from 1 species